rnacentral:rRNA from 1 species
UGGGGAAUAUUGGACAAUGGGCGCAAGCCUGAUCCAGCCAUACCGCGUGGGUGAAGAAGGCCUUCGGGUUGUAAAGCCCUUUUGUUGGGAAAGAAAAGCAGCUGGUUAAUACCCGGUUGUUCUGACGGUACCCAAAGAAUAAGCACCGGCUAACUUCGUGCCAGCAGCCGCGGUAAUACGAAGGGUGCAAGCGUUACUCGGAAUUACUGGGCGUAAAGCGUGCGUAGGUGGUUGUUUAAGUCUGUCGUGAAAGCCCUGGGCUCAACCUGGGAAGUGCGAUGGAAACUGGGCGACUAGAGUGUGGCAGAGGAUAGUGGAAUUCCUGGUGUAGCAGUGAAAUGCGUAGAGAUCAGGAGGAACAUCCGUGGCGAAGGCGACUGUCUGGGCCAACACUGACACUGAGGCACGAAAGCGUGGGGAGCAAACAGG